rnacentral:tRNA from 1 species
GGACCCGUAGCUUAGCCUGGUUUGGAGCAUUCGACUGAUAAUCGAAAGGUCGGCGGUUCAAAUCCGCUCGGGUCCA